UCCUACGGGGGCAGCAGUGGGGAAUAUUGCACAAUGGGGGAAACCCUGAUGCAGCAACGCCGCGUGAGUGAGGAAGUAUUUCGGUAUGUAAAGCUCUAUCAGCAGGGAAUAGAAAAGAAGGUACCUGAAAAAGAAGCCCCGGCUAACUACGUGCCAGCAGCCGCGGUAAUACGUAGGGGGCGAGCGUUAUCCGGAAUUACUGGGUGUAAAGGGAGCGUAGACGGCGAGGUAAGCCUGAAGUGGAAGCCCGCGGCCCAACCGCGGAACUGCUUUGGGAACUGUUUUGCUGGAGUAUG
rnacentral:rRNA from 1 species